GACGAGGGAUCCUAGCGUUGCUCGGAAUUAUUGGGCGUAAAGCGGGUGUAGGUGGCUUGGUAAGUCAGAUGUGAAAGCCCUGGGCUUAACCCAGGAAGUGCAUUUGAUACUGCUGAGCUUGAGUGCGAGAGAGGUUAAUAGAAUACCUGGUGUAGUGGUGAAAUACGUAGAUAUCAGGUGGAACACCGGAGGCGAAGGCGGUUAACUGGCUCGACACUGACACUGAGACCCGAAAGUGCGGGGAUCAAACAGG
rnacentral:rRNA from 2 species